rnacentral:misc_RNA from 1 species
CUCUUUAAUUGCAUAGACUAGUAGGUUUUGGUGUCUCCUACGUUAAGCCAGCCCCUUCCUCCUCACCCUUCCAUCCUUCUAAAGUUUUGUGAAGAACAUAUAGAUAUACAUCAGAUUUUAGAUAACCAGAAGAAAUGGUGAAGAUCUGUUGCAUUGGUGCUGGUUAUGUUGGGGGUCCUACCAUGGCAGUUAUUGCAUUGAAGUGCCCCUCAAUUGAAGUAGCUGUUGUUGACAUCUCAGUUUCUAGAAUUGCAGCAUGGAAUGGUGAUCAACUUCCCAUUUAUGAGCCAGGCCUUGACGAGGUGGUGAAGCAGUGCAGAGGAAACAACCUUUUCUUCAGCACAGACAUUGAAAAACAUGUCUUUGAAGCAGACAUAAUCUUUGUUUCUGUUAACACCCCGACAAAAACUCGGGGCCUUGGAGCAGGCAAAGCUGCUGACUUGACUUAUUGGGAGAGUGCAGCCCGAAU